GCCAGUGUGGCAUAGUGGUUUGAGUGCUGGACUAUGACCCUGGAGAGCAGUGUUCAAUUCUCAGCUUGGCCA